UUUACCUGAGAUUUGUUCGAGAAUCGAGAGCAAGGAUUUUGCGAACGAGCAUCGUCUGGACGUGGAUGCGACCACGAGAGAAUACCAACCGCCGGAAUAUUCAUACAUUCGCCGGAAAUUGCGGAUAACUCGGCUUCGUUUAAGCGACGGAAAACUGCAUAGCUCCGGAUGGGCCCAUGUUUUAGGAUGGUUAACAAAGAGACAAGACGGAGGUGAAAAAGAAAACAGGACAUGGGGCGGCAACGAAGAGAAAUGAAGGCACGAAACUAACAAACGUCUGCAAACGUCACUGCUAGCGUUCCUGCUAACCGCGCGUCUGAUGAAAUCACAAGAGAAAAUGUGGAAGCGAGCGAAGACGCGUGAAAUUGAAGAAAGAGGAGAAAAGAGAAAAAAAAGUGGCAAAAGGAAGGGUGGAAGAUAGGGGUGACUGGUGAUACCAUCCGAUCUAAUUCCAAAGGGUUACGUUCGACGUGGCAGCCUGCUCCGCUGUAGAAUUUUUACCCGCGACCAACGGAGACGAGGAAGAAAGAAAAAAGAAAAGGAAAGGGAUGCGGAAAAAGUGCAGUCAGGAAAUCGGAUCUGUGCCACGAAAAGGAACUUACCGGAAGUUCCUCUCGCGCUGCCUCCUCUCUGUUCCCUUUUAUCCCUUCUCCGCCGGCCGUCGCUAUCUUUCUACGAGCAGUGUUUCCGCGAGAGUAAAUUCAUUUUCAGGCACGAGGCGGCCCGGUUUGAAAAAAUCUGUCGCGCGGUGAUUUGAAUUUAAGAGUUCGCUCGUGAAAUCGUAUUACGUCGUGGCACCGCGGCGCUGGCCACUCGAGGAAAUCGGAAAUAAACGCCGGUGCACAUUUCUCUGUAAGAAAAAGAGAUAAAGGAGAUCGGCGAAAGAAGCGAGAUAGGCUCUAGCCGGCAAGAGAAUCGGAAAUGAAAAGAAACGACGCUUGCCGCAAGAGCUCGCGUGAUAAAAUGCACUACCAUUUACGAGUAUUACUGGUCACAUCCAAUACGCGAUACGUGUCUGAAAUUAUUACGAAAGUGAUUGAUCGAUUAGAACAAUGCAAAAUAUGAACGAAAUAAGAAUCUGGAAUAUGCGACAAAAAUUACGGAGAAAUAAUGUAUUGAUUAUUAUAUGUUCGUAUAUAUGUAUAAUAUACGAUCCUUUGUUUGAUCAAAAUCUCGUUAUGGAUUCAUUUGUGAGUUGCGUAAGACCAAA